UUUAAACUACCAAAUUCACCACAUAACUUUAUAUUUUGGUCCAUCUGAUGUAAUUUUUAAAUAUUAAAUGAGUGAUGUUGUCAGUACUUGAGUAAUACUUUUUUACUUUUACUAGAGUACUUUCUAGAGCAACACACUGUUGUUUUUGCGUAUUUAUUUUCUUGAGCUCACGUUGUCAUGUAAAACUGGAGGGACUGAUUGGUGUAAUUUGGGCCCAUAAAAAGCUGUGGCGUGCCGGAUUUGGCCCCCAGGCCUUGAGCUUGACACUUCUGUUUUAAAUCAUCA